ensembl:lncRNA
GUCUUUUCUGAAUGGACCUGACCAUUUCGAAGAACAGAAUGGCAAUUUCACAUGGUGCAACCGGGGAGGUGAACCUCCCAGCCCAGAGCCGGCCUGCAGCGGCACUCACCCCAGCAGCUGUCGUAGCGGAGCAAGCCUGCGUCCUCUAUAAACCCAGAGAUGGCUGUUAUCAUCCUAUUUCACAGAUUGAGAACUUGAGGUUGAGAGAGGAUGAUGGGUAUUAGUUUCCUGGAGCUGCCGUCACUGGCUUCAAACAACAGAAAUUUGUUCUCUCACAGUCCUGGAGGCUAGACGUCCAAAAUCAAGGUGUCGGCAGGAGGCACCUGGGUGGCUCAGUUGGUUAAGCAUCUGACUCUUGGCUUCGACUCGGGUCACGAUCUCAUGGUUGUGGGAUGGAGCCAUGUGUUGAGCUCCGGGCACCACGCUGGGCUUGGAGCCUGCUUGAGAUUCUCUCUCCCCCUCUCUCUCUGCCCCUCCCCUGCUCAUGCUCGUUCUCUCUCUCUUCAGAAUCUGAAUCUGGCUCGUGGCACUUUUGUGCCUAGCAGGCCACUUUGGAUCAUGGUGUGGGUCCCGCUAGUCUGUCCAGAGACACUGCCCCCGAAGGUGGCCUGCUCGGCUGUUAGCUGAAUCUCCUUCCUGCCCUUUUGCCCACUCCCCCGGCAGGGGCCAGGAGAUCAGGAGGGUUUGGGGUGGAGGGAGGGGUGAGCACAUCAUGGCAGAAGGGGCCUGAGGAGGGAUGAAGAGGAAGGUCAUCCCCAGAGGACAAGUGUAGAGACCUAGAGCGGCAAGUGUCCGGGUCUCUCCUUCCCGUUUCCAGAGGCCCAGGAUCCCCCCACCAUCCUCGGAACACAAAAGCAGCCUCUGUGCCGGUGGGAAAGCUACAGGGCUGGAGCUUCCUCACAUGGACCUGCUGGACUUUUCCAGAAGUAUCAACAAAAGGGCAGCAAAGAGGAAGGGAUGCGGGAAGAGCAGAAGGGGGAAGUCCCCAGCUCUGCCGGGUCCCAAGAUCACCAACCGUGAGAGAUGCUCGUGCCAUCCAGCCCCCAGAAGAUGUCACUUGUCUCUCCCAGCUACGCUCCAGGGAGAAGGACAGCACUGCACAGACUGGACAUAAGUGUGCAAGGAGUGGGCCCCAGCCCCUGCACAGGAGGAGCCGACGGGGGAACAGGAGACGUCAGGACUGCUUGGGACGGGCUGAGGUUCAUGUGCAGGAGGCAGGCACUGCCCUGGGCGGAGGCUGCUUUCCGGCUGGAAGCGGCAGCUCCCUGGCCAACACCCGGCCAGAUUCUGAGCCUUCUCCACCUGCCAGGUGGACCUUCAGAAGCUCUAUGCCGAUGAGCUGGUGGGUGGAGGGCUCCCCUGGCCCUCAGUUCUCCACUGUUGCGUAGGGAGAGAGAGAAAGAGGAAUCUGCUCCCGACCUUCCUGGGCCAGGGAGCCCCAGAACCACGGCUCCUUUUCUGUGAACAGUACCAGGGGUCCAACUUGCUCACCAACGGAGUGUUCACUUGGGGCACUCCCCGUGCUCAGCAAGGCCCCACACUUGGUUUAACAUGCUGCUGCCAUGGUCUCGAAAUUCUUAACAAUUGUGGAACAAGGGGCCCUGCAUUUGCAUUUUUCACCCAGACCGUUACAACGUACGUAGCCGGUCCUGCCUGCCAGACAUGCGUGUUACAGCUGCGUCCAGCUGGCCACAUCACUCCACACUGCGCUCCGCCCCCAACGCUGCAACAGUCCCCAAAAGCCUGAAGCCGCAGACUCAUCCACUCUCCAGGCCGGCUCUCCGGGCUGUGGGCACACGUGAGAUUGCCCUCUGUACGUGAGGGACCAGGAACCUCAGGGUGCGGGUAUCAGCCUCUCCUCACUAGGCAGCCCCCACCCCACCAUCCUCAGGAGCCCCCUGGGCCGGACGGCGGGUCCCCUGGCUAAGCUGAACUCCAAUGGGACACUGAAAUGCCAGCCUCUCCCUCCUGCCGGCUCCCUUGAUUCCUGAACAAGGGAUUCCUUCAUCCUUCCGGGGUCCCUGCCCUUCCUUCCAGCUCUGCUGCAGACGUGAGGGAAGAUGCUCUCUCCCUCAAAUCUGUGCAGUCCCCAAGGCUCUCCCCCACCGGCCCCCACCUCUUCUCCUCUGCACGUGGGCGAGGGCCUUUGGGGAGGAUGUGGGUCUGACAGGGCCCGGCCGUGAGCCCUGCAGUGACAAGGAGGUCUGGGAGGGUCUGCCACUCGACUAGCCUGUGGGAGACCCAGCCCCUUGGGACAGGCAAGUCCCCACCAGACAGCCGGCAACAGAGCAGCGACUGCUCUGAAGAAGGUGCCAGAGGGGAUGUGGCAGAGAAGAGGACACGCUGUCGGGACGGUGGCCAUUCCAGUGGAAGAGGCCGAGGACGACCAGGAGGACCAGUCACCAGUAAUAAAAAAAGUUGCACGAAACGUGGGUUUCGACCUGGUUCUCAAGAGGCGACCUGAGGAAGUAGAUGAAACUGACCAGACUUGGGGUAUAUGUGGAGGAGAGGAGAGGG